AACUGAUACUACCUGCGGGAACCUGCGGAGGGAUCAUUACCAAGAGAAAUCUUUCAACACUGAAAGAUCUUUUCCUUUGUGCUGGCUUUGACCGUAUGUAAUUUUGGGACUUUAAAAUGGUUCGCAAGGGCCGGUCCCAAAAACAAUAUAUCAUCCUUAUGAAAUUUUUUCUGAACAAUUAAACAAAUGAUUUUAAUAAUCUGUUUAAAACAACUUUCAACAACGGAUCUCUAGAUCGGA
rnacentral:misc_RNA from 1 species